AUUGAACGCUGGCGGCAGGCCUAACACAUGCAAGUCGAACGAGUGGCGGACGGGUGAGUAAUGUCUGGGAAACUGCCCGAUAGAGGGGGAUAACUACUGGAAACGGUAGAUAAUACCGCAUACCAUCGGAUGUGCCCAGAUGGGAUUAGCUAGUGGGUGGGGUAAUGGCUCACCUAGGCGACGAUCCCUAGCUGGUCUGAGAGGAUGACCAGCAACACUGGAAAUGAUACACGGUCCAGACUCCUACGGGAGGCAGCAGUGGGGAAUAUGGCACAAUGGGCGAAAGCCUGAUACAGCAAUGCCGAGUGUAUGAAGAAGGCCUUCGGGUUGUAAAGUACUUUUAGCGAGGAGGCGUUACUCGCAGAAGAAGCACCGGCUAACUCCGUGCCAGCAGCCGCGGUAAUUC
rnacentral:rRNA from 1 species